CAACGCGAAGAACCUUACCUGGCCUUGACAUCCAGAGAACUUAGCAGAGAUGCUUUGGUGCCUUCGGGAACUCUGAGACAGGUGCUGCAUGGCUGUCGUCAGCUCGUGUUGUGAAAUGUUGGGUUAAGUCCCGCAACGAGCGCAACCCUUAUCCUUUGUUGCCAGCGGUUCGGCCGGGAACUCAAAGGAGACUGCCGGUGAUAAACCGGAGGAAGGUGGGGAUGACGUCAAGUCAUCAUGGCCCUUACGGCCAGGGCUACACACGUGCUACAAUGGCGCAUACAAAGAGAAGCGACCUCGCGAGAGCAAGCGGACCUCAUAAAUGCGUCGUAGUCCGGAUUGGAGUCUGCAACUCGACUCCAUGAAGUCGGAAUCGCUAGUAAUCGUAGAUCAGAAUGCUACGGUGAAUACGUUCCCGGGCCUUGUACACACCGCCCGUCACACCAUGGGAGUGGGUUGCAAAAGAAGUAGGUAGCUUAACCUCCGGGAGGGCGCUUACCACUUUGUGAUUCAUGACUGGGGUGAAGUCGUAACAAGGUAACCAAGGGCGAAUUCUG
rnacentral:rRNA from 1 species